UACGUAGGGAGCAAGCGUUGUCCGGAAUCAUUGGGCGUAAAGAGCGUGUAGGCGGCUUUACAGGUCCGUUGUGAAAACUCGAGGCUCAACCUCGAGACGCCGGUGGAAACCGUAAAGCUAGAGUCCGGAAGAGGAGAGUGGAAAUCCUGGUGUAGCGGUGAAAUGCGCAGAUAUCAGGAAGAACACCCGUGGCGAAGGCGGCUCUCUGGGACGGUACUGACGCUGAGACGCGAAAGCGUGGGGAGCGAACAGG
rnacentral:rRNA from 1 species